CCUGCCUCACCCCACCUUUUCGCUUACCAUCUUUUCUCCUCCUCCUCCUUCGUCCAUCCUCCCACCCCCAUCCAUCUCUACCUCCGUAUCCCUCUCUCCUCUCUAUCACUCUCUCGCAGAUGCCACAUCACACCACAUGCUCUCCCUCUCCCUCUUCCUCUCUCUCUGGUCUAUCAGCUGCUCCCUCCUUCGCCCAGCCCCGGCUCGUCACCGGCUGUCAGUUUAUUUGCGGCGGCGGAGCAACAACUGGCUCCUUUCUGCACUGGAGGAGCACAGAGGGGAAGGAGAGAGUGAAAGAAGGGGGGAAAAGUGGAGGAGGAGGACGAGGAGAGAGGAGGAGAAGAGAGGGAAACAAGGAGGAGAUCUUUUGUUAAGCAUCCCUCCCCUCAGCCCUCUCUGGCAGCAUCAUCAGCAUCAGCACCACUGCUGCCUCCUCCUCCACCACCAUCACUGCUGCUGCUGCUGCUGCUCCCGCUGCUGGAUCCUCCGUCUCCUGCCAGGAUCUGCCUCCUCUUUCUCCUCAGGGAGCUCUUCCUGGAACUGGGAGGAGGAGGGGAGAUCACCACCUCCCAGCUUGCUAAGCUCGCCGCGGACCCUCGACAAGGCAUCAGGAGAAGAGGAGGAAAGAAGGAGGGGAGGGGAGGGAAUUUUAGAAGAGGUGCACAGGGAGAGCGGAGGAAAAGGCAACACCCUGGGUUACAGGAGAGCCGUCCUGAGGAGAAGAAGAAAAGAGGGGCUGAGCAGGAAAGCUGGCCGUCCAUGAUUUGGACCAAGUCUUCAGGAGACAGACCAGGUCCUGGCCUAGUGAUGGAUGCCACUGUCACACUGUCUCUGUCUGUGUCUGUGUCUGUUUGCCACUGGAGCCUGAAGGGAGGCUGCUCGUGGUCCUGAUGCUGGUGGUGAUGUUGGUGAUGGUGAUGGUGGUGGUGAUGAUGAUGAUGAUGAUGAUGAUGAUGAUGAUGGUGCAAUGGCAGCGGCGCUGCACACGUGGUUUCUGGCUUAGCUUCCCAUGUUUUCUGAAAGACUCUCUUCGGUGACGGGUAUUCUUGGGUGGAUAAUACGGAUCACGUUGUUAUUGCUUAAGAAUACGCGUAGUCGAGGAGAGUCCGCACUUCGCCCCGACCCCCGACUCCCCUCUCCGACACCCACCCACCCACGUACCUCACCCCAACCGAACCCACCCACCCAACCGACCAGGGAGGACUGUCAGGUUGGAUGAAGCCACACCUCCACCUCCCACCCUUCCAAAAGAGACUUGUUUGAUCUGUUUUUUUGCGAUAUGCAUAUUUUGUUUGUUGAGCCAUAGUUUGAUGUUGAGAGUCUGUCCCACUGUGCGUCUGUCAGUCUGUGUCUGUCUCUGUGGUGUUGGACAGCAAAGUGUGUCCUCUGUUGCUGUGUGUGUGUGUGUGUUGCUUUGAGGUGUCUCAGUGUCUCGUCUGACAGCAGUUUCUUCUUCUUCUUCUUCUUCUUCUUAUUAUGUCACGAUAUCUGUAUGAGCAGUGUGUUCACGUAAUGUAAGGCUAGCAUGGCAGCGUGCACAUGAUCACCAACAUGACGAGGGUCAUUAGACUUAAACCCUCAACCAGACGUGGACUGAACAUGUGUCACUUUAGUUUCUGUGUCUUAUUAGAAACACAAGCCAAGAUCAGAAAAUCAGAAUAAUAAGAAUGAUAGAAUAAUAAAAGCUGCAUUGAAUGAGCACUCAGAGUACGAGACAGAUCUGUUUUUCCAGUCAAAUGUAGAAACAUUUCAUUUCCUGUUGCCAGUGAAUGAAUAUUCCCUGAAUAUUGACACACAUGUGACCUCAGACUGCAGCUCGUAUCAAACACGUGCUGAUAUUUAAAAUCACUUUUCAUUUGGUGCAAAUGUGUCCUGAUAAUUCCUCUUAUUUCAAAUACAAAAUAAUAACCAGACUUGAAUCAUGUUUACUUUAUAUUUUAAUAAGUCUAUUUAAAAAUAAA